GUUGACAGCCAUACCACCCUGAAUGAACCUGAUCCCGUGUGACCUGGGAAGCUAAGGAGGGCCAGGCCUGGUGAGAGCUUAGAUGGGAAGAAGUCUGGGGAUGCAGCUCAGUGGAUGUACAGAUAGGUACAGUCCACA
rnacentral:rRNA from 1 species